UACGUAGGGUGCAAGCGUUAAUCGGAUUCACUGGGCGUAAAGGGUGCGCAGGCGGUUGUGUGUGUCAGGUGUGAAAGCCCGGGGCUUAACCCCGGAAUUGCGCCUGAAACUACAUGACUAGAGCAUUGGAGAGGGUAGCGGAAUUCACGGUGUAGCAGUGAAAUGCGUAGAUAUCGUGAGGAACACCAGAGGCGAAGGCGGCUACCUGGACAAUUGCUGACGCUCAGGCACGAAAGCGUGGGGAGCAAAAGGG
rnacentral:rRNA from 1 species